CCUUCAAGUUCAGUUUUUCUCAUAUUGUUUUCUCACUGUAAAAAUUGAAUGUUAUAUGAAGGGAAUGGUGUAUGUAUGAUGAGUAACGCUUGGAGAGACAAGCAACAACCCGCAAUUAUCUGUUUCAUAGCUUCCUUCCUGUCUGCAAAUUCUUACCGGCUUAACUUCCUUCCUAUCGCUCCGCUAUGUAAAUUCGAGGUGAAGGAUUUCAUUGUCAACAAUGGGGGCGUAUCUGUAGCUUUCAUCUUCAUAACAAAUUGGGAUUAUCAGAAUAUUGCCCCGACCAUGAGCAGAAUAAAGAAGUUGAAAUGCCAGUUUGGCCAUUUUUAUGCUGUCAUAACUGUUUCAACGAAGGAACAAAAUGAGUCUUUCAUCAAGUUGUUCUUCGAGUAUGGUAUAGAAAUUGGUAGACCGACAUUUAUUGUUGUCGAGAACCUGGAAAUAGGGUUCGAGAAGAUUGUGAAUAUAGCGCACAUUAAUGGAGAAUGUAAAAGGCAGAAUGCCAUUUCCAAGUUGAAGAUUGAGCGUGAGCGGUCAGUACAGGGUAUGGAAGCUUUCAUUAAAGUGGUCACAUCUAUACCUGGCCUGGAAAACCAUGAUGCAAAUGCGCUAAUACAAGCGAUUGGUUCCAUUGAAGCAAUAUCCAAGGCUUCCAAGGAAUUCAUACUAGAGAACACAGAUCUUUCGCCAGGAAAGGCAGAAACAAUUGUAAGGUUUUUCAAAGAUCUCAAGUACUCUCUCUGCCCAAAGAUCAUCUAACAUGUUUGAGACAUGUCAUCAUCUCCAUAAGGUAAGGAGAUGAGAAAUAAAAGCCAACAAUUACAUGACGGUCUCUACAGAAUUAAACUGCCCAAUAAGUGGAACAAAAAAAGGAGGUGCAAAGGAUUAAGGAAGAGGGGAUGAGGGAGCUGCUUAUAUGUUCGAUGUUGUUUUACGGGAAGAUGGGGGUACAUCAGUUGUAGGUAAUGCUAGGGGGUAGCAGAGAGUUUAUAGGACAAAUUUCAUUGGAAAUAGAGAGUUAUUUGUUCGUGUGUAUGUGCGUGUGUGUUUGAGAGAGAGAGAGAGAGAGAGAGAUGGAACAGUGGAGGUGCAUGAGAGAAGGAGAGGAGAUAACUCAUGAACAACUUUAUAAGAGAGAGAAAAUGUUGAAGAGAAGGGAGGAACUAAGUAGAAGUCCUGGCUGAUUCCUUUGGUGGGGUAAUAGUGACCUCAAAUAGGCUUACUUGGUCUACGAUGAGAAGUUUUGCAAGUCAAAGAACUGUACGGAUUUGGCCGUUUGACUCUUAAAUAGUGGUAUAUUAGAUCCCAUGGUUACUGGGAUUUCCCAAUCAA